AUGUGCUGUUAUCAGUGGUGCAAUCAGAAGACAAAAGAUGAAAGUAAUAUUUAUGAUUAUAUAAUAGUUGUACUUAUAUAAUAGCAUAUACUUCUAUGUGCCAGGAACAAUUUUAAGCUUUUUUUAAAGCUCUUUUUAGUCCUUACAACAACAUCUUACUCCGGGAGAUAGAGGGUAGCAAACAUACAUGUUAGAACUGGGUAGAAGUUCUUGCAGCAGGAAAAGAUGCCUCGCCACCUCCUGCCAUGCUUCCAGGCUUUACUCCUCAGAUUUCAACAGCUGACUUCUGCCUGUGGAGGUGAAGACUUGAGGCAAAUCAUAAUGUAGAGUUACUCCAUUUCUUCUUCCUUUGAGAGAAACUGUCUGUAAGGCAAUACUGCAGAUUUUUUCCUCCUGAAAUACAUCCAAAAACACUCAAGAAAUCUCUCCCUCAACCUUUAGAUGAAAAUUUCCUUCUAAUUUUCCUCCUGAAAUACUGGUGGAACCAUUCUACCUGGAAAGGUGGAGUUUUUAAAGGGAUCAGCCUCCCUCCAGUUAUCCCAAAGGAGAUGAUGAUUUCAGACACACUGCUAGGAUACUGCCUCUACUCACUGAAGCAGAAGCCUCUGAAGAGUUGCUGAGGCAGAACUGAAAUCAUGGCUCGCCACAAAGAAGCAGCCGUAUUGGCCGCUCACGAUGCCCUCACACAGAAAGACGAUGCUCCUUUAACUCGGGGGUUUUAAUGGGAAGUUUCUAAGCCUGAAACAACAGCUUUGGAGCUGGGGUGUGCCAUCAGCUGCUUGCAGCUACCACUGUCUACUGCUUCAACACAGCUUGGUCGGGAAGGAUGGAAACUAAAGAGGCUUGUAACUACCUGUAACAGUUCCACCAGGAAAUGGAUCAAGUGUUUGCUCAGCCAGAUCCAGAUCACUCAGUGGCUCCACGGUGCAGCCACCAUGAUCUCAGCAGACUGAUGAUGGAAGAAAAGGAAACUGCAAGAUCCCGAGCUCCUGCUUCUCUGGACGAUGGAUGGAGGACAGCCCGUCCCUUCAGCCCUAGUGCCCCUUGAGAAUGCAUCACCAGAUUCUAGCAUGUCUCUGGAGCAGAAAACCACAUUUGUCUUUGUGAUUUUGUUGUUCAUUUUCUUGGGCAUCCUCAUUGUCAGGUGCUUCCGGAUCCUUCUGGACCCAUAUCGGAGCAUGCCGACCUCAACCUGGGCGGAUGGACUUGAAGGCCUGGAGAAGGGGCAGUUUGACCAUGCCCUUGCCUAGCAGAGGGGGAGCAGGACCCCCUCCUGAAGGGGUGAAGUGCAUCAUGUCUUGGCGAGGAAUCCUCUUUAGUCAAUGUUCUUAGCACCAAGUUUUAACAGCACCUGGUCAUAGGCCUACAAUCCCUCAUUUAUUAAACAUGCCAUUAGGUUUUGAAGGAUAUUGGAGAUGAAGGUUUCUAACAGUCUCCUGAAAUAGGAAGUCUUGAAUUUCUGUGUUUACUCCUGAAUGAAUAUUGCCAAAGGUGUGCGGUGGUGAAAGCAAAGAACAUUGGCAAUGAGACAAACUUUGCCAUAAAAUGAAGUGCUCUCCCACCCAGCCAGAGAGUGGAGAAUGGAAAGGAUCUGAAACAAAUCUGGUCACAGGGCCAUGAAGAGGCUUCCUUGUUCUCAGCGUGUCCCUCAGUUGGUUUUAUUUGCAUGGGAAUCCAGGUCCUGGGCAGAGACUCACUCUGAGAGGCUGAGUGAACCCAGAGGAGCACUGGGAAUCAAAGCAUUAGGGUGUGCUUAGCAGAAACAGUCCCCUCUCUGGAAAAGAUGAGUUAGGAUGACCUCAUUUUAUUUCUCAAGUAAAACUGAAUUCACAGGCUUAUGGAGCUUUGAAAACUCUCCACCAGGCCAAGUACAUUCUAGGUAUUCAUAUUAAUAAGCAGUGUAGACGUAGCUAUACAUAACUUGAAUUUACUUUCUUUACAUAAAUGAUUGAAAGAAUGAUUUGUGAGUGUAGCUAUGAGUUUUUUUUUUUUAAAGAAAAAGUUAAUUGUUUAGAAGAGAAGACUAUACUAUACGCUGGCAAACUGAAUUUAAAUUAAAAAAAUAAAACAAAAUAAAAUAAACGAAUAAAAUAAAAUAAAACGAAUAGAAGACUUUCACAGUCUUAAGAGGAAUGUAUGUUUGGGGCUGAAGAGAGAAGCCAAAUAAAACUCUUCAAGAAAUGAUACUGUCUCCUCUCCUAUGUCACUGAGACGAAUGCACUGGUGGCAGCAUGUGACAAGAAGCUCAGAGGAUGAGCACUGUUCUGAGAGACAGGAAAGGCUGCAAGGUCAUUGAGUUCAUCCGUCUCCCAUUUCAGAAAGGACUCCCACACAUCGUCCUGUGCACAUACGACCUAUUCGAAGGCCUGUUUAAGACCACCAAAAAGAGAGAUGUGAAAACCUCUUAUUCCCACUUCUCUUGGUAGGAAAACCUUGUGUCUCAACUAAACCCCUGAGGCUGUACUUAUAAUCGGUGUCUUCUAAUUUUCUCCUCAGCUAGCCAUCCAAUUUUUUUUUUUAUUAUUAAUUACAAAAGUUAAAAAAGCCAACUAUGCCUGAAAAAGCAGCCCUUAGUAAAACUGCUUUCUUGUCUUCCCUAUUUUUCUUUAACAUUCUUUGUAGGGCCUGCUGUCCAGAUUUCUCCCCUCCUCAUGUUCCCUCAUGACUUUCUUUUUAAAAUUUUAAAAAUUGAUCUCUACAUCCAAUGUGGGACUCAAACUCACAAUCCCAAGAUCAAGAGUCACACACUCUUCCAAAUGAGCAAGCCAGGGUCCUCUUGAUGUUUUUUUUAUUUAAAAAAUAAUAGCUUUAUUGAAAUAUAAUUCACAUACCAUAAACUUUACAUUUUGAAAGUGUACAAUUCAGCAGCUUUUAGUACCUUUCCAGAAUUGUGUGACCACUGACACUAAUUCUGGAAUUCUAUACUAGUAGUGAAGUCUCAUUCCUUUCCUCAUAGCCCCUGGCAAUCUCAAAUCCACUUUCUGUCUCUCUGUGGUUGCCAGUUCUGGACAUUUCUUUUUUUAAAGAUUUUAUUUAUUUAUUCAUGAGAGAGGCAGAGACACAGGCAGAGGGAGAAGCAGGCUCCCCACUGGGAACCUGAUGUGGGACUUGAUCCCAGCACCCAGGAUCUUGGCCUGAGCCAAAGGCAGACACUCAACCACUGAGCCCCCCAGGUGUCCCUCUGGACAUUUUAUGUAAAUGGCAUUAUAGGAUACGUGAGCUUCUGUAUAUGGCUUUUUUCACUUAGCAUGUUUUCAAAGUUGGCUCAUCCAUGUUGUAUCCCUCCUUUGCAUGGCCAACUAAUAUUCCACUGUUUGGCUGUACUAUGUUUUGUUGGUCCAUUGGUUGUCAUGGUUAUCCAGUAGCUAGUAUGAGGUGUGCUGCUAUGAACAUUUGUGUACAAGUCUUUCCUUCAAGCCUAUGCUUUCAAUUCUCUUGAGUAUAUUCCUAGAAGUGGAUUUGCUGGGUUCUAUUCAAACUCUAUGUUUAACUUUUUGAAGAAUCUGAGACUGUUUCCCAAAGUGGCUGCAUCAUUUUACAUUCCUGCCAGCAAUGUAUGGGGCUUUUGAUUCUUUUCUUAACUCUCUCCAACUACUCAAAUUUCUUCUUUAGCUAUACACUUUAUAAUGGAACACACCAUUUCAAGAAUGAGUCUGAUUAAAAAGAGAGAACCACCUCGUGGUAUCUACAUGCUGCUAGUUCACUGAUGCCUCCGAAGAGCCUUUGCUUUCAGAUCUAAAGCAACACACUAAUGCUUAUCUGCAGCCAUCCUAUGGUCUGUUAUGUCACCUGAAUAUUUUUUUCUGUUUUGCUAAUACAUAUUUCUUUAACCCACUAAUUAAAAUGUUUUCUUUUUUAUUCAAAUGUACCAUGUCA